rnacentral:rRNA from 1 species
CGUGCAGGCGGCCACCGCAAGUUGAAUGUGAAAUCCCUGGGCUUAACCUGGGAAGUGCGUUCAAGACUGCGGGGCUUGAAUACGGGAGAGGAUCGUGGAAUUCCUGGUGUAGAGGUGAAAUUCGUAGAUAUCAGGAGGAACACUCGUGGCGAAGGCGACGGUCUGGACCGAUAUUGACGCUGAGACGCGAAAGCGUGGGUAAGCAAACA